rnacentral:rRNA from 1 species
CCGCGGUGCUCUUCAUUGGUCGCGGGAGGCCGACUUACUUUGAAAAAAUUAGAGUGCUCAAAGCAGGCGCCUGAAUAAUGGUGCAUGGAAUGAUGGAAUAGGACCUCGGUUCUAUUUUGUUGGUUUUCGCGAGGUAAUGAUUAAGAGGGACAGACGGGGGCAUUCGUAUUGCGACGCUAGAGGUGAAAUUCUUGGACCGUCGCAAGACGAACUACUGCGAAAGCAUUUGCCAAGAAUGUUUUCAUUAAUCAAGAACGAAAGUUAGAGGUUCGAAGGCGAUCAGAUACCGCCCUAGUUCUAACCAUAAACGAUGCCAACCAGCGAUCCGCCGGAGUUCCUUCUAUGACUCGGCGGGCAGCUUCCGGGAAACCAAAGUCUUUGGGUUCCGGGGGAAGUAUGGUUGCAAAGCUGAAACUUAAAGGAAUUGACGGAAGGGCACCACCAGGAGUGGAGCCUGCGGCUUAAUUUGACUC